CCAAUAGCGUAUAUUAAAGUUGUUGCAGUUAAAAAGCUCGUAGUUGAACCUCGGGGUCUACCCAUUGGUCAGGCUUAAUUGUCUGCACUGGUGAGAUGGAUCUCUACCUUCUGAGGAACUUUCAUGCCAUUUAUUUGGUGUGAUGGGAAAUCAGGACUGUUACUUUGAAAAAAUUAGAGUGUUUAAAGCAGGCUUUAGCUUGAAUACAUUAGCAUGGAAUAAUGAAAUAGGACGUUUGAUCCUAUUUUGUUGGUUUCUAGGAUUGACGUAAUGAUUAAUAGGGAUAGUUGGGGGCAUUAGUAUUCAAUUGUCAGAGGUGAAAUUCUUGGAUUUAUUGAAGACUAACUACUGCGAAAGCAUUUGCCAAGGAUGUUUUCAUUAAUCAAGAACGAAAGUUAGGGGAUCGAAGACGAUCAGAUACCGUCGUAGUCUUAACCAUAAACUAUGCCGACUAGGGAUCGGAUGAUGUUAAUUUUUUAAUGACUCAUUCGGCGCCUUACG
rnacentral:misc_RNA from 1 species